CAUUUCGUAAAUUAAUUUCAUAAAGCAAAAAUAGCAUUAAAUUCAUUUCUUGCACUCACAAAUUAUACAUUGAGACAGACUACAUUGAAGGAAAUAAAUCUGAUGUCCUCUUAAAUGACUUGCUAAAACAUUGGUACAAGAACAAACUACCGUAAAACAAGAUGAUCUGACUUCCUGUGAAGAAAAUUCAUGCAAAAACAAAAAUGCUGAAACACAGCCCAAGCAUAGGUGUCUUGCUGAACCAACUUGAGCUCAAAACCUGACCUAUCUAAUACAAACCUUUCAUGGUGACAUGUCAUAGUCCGACUUUAUAUAAGUUGGAUCAAACUUGGGCUCCAAACUUUCAAGCAGGAACUCCAAAAGGCAAGCCUUUGAGCCAACAGCCUGAUAUGGCCUAUUUAUGCCCUUUGGACGCUUAAUUCACAAAGCGAAAAUAGAAAAAUCUCCUGACUUUCUUUUCCCAAGAGAAAGAAAUCCUAAACAGCAUUAGUUGCUAUGUUACUUAGACUCAGGAAUUGCUGUGACACUUUAGUAUGGAUCUACAAAAGGGAAUUAUUAAUGAUUUAAAAAAAUCCAACACUACCAACACUUAAAACAAAUUAAAUAUUCUGACUUCCCAUUUUUAAUUUAAAUAAGAUUGUGAUACAUCACAUGAUUGCACUAAGAAGUACAAUAUAUUCCAUUGCAUGUGGAAAGCAAAGUAAUGGGCAGAUAUGAAGGGCUGACUGAACGUGUUUUUCCCCACAUCAAACAUGUACAUGCCUACCUUAAUACAAAGAUUCUGCUUAGUUCCACGACUUAGGGUAAAAAUGUUAAGUUUUUAAAAAUCUUUGGGAUAUGAGAAUUUCGGCCACCUGUAUGUUAUCCCUGGUUACUAUAUUGUCACUAAAAAAUAGGGGCAAAUGAAUAAAUAUGUGCGGACCUUGUCUCUAGAAAACAGUAGCGAAAGAAAGGACAUCAUUAAUUUAAUAAUUUAUGAAUGUAUCCAUUAUGCAUAUAGACCAUGUCCUUAUCAACAUUCUGGACCAAAUAAAGUAAAAGAAGG
rnacentral:lncRNA from 1 species